UUAACAUUUUGAUUGGUAUAGUUAUACCAAAAGAGCAAGGAGUACGACGGUAGAUCACAUCUGCAACAGAACCAUUACAGAUUCCUUGUUGUAUCAAUGUCUCUGUGUUUAUGUUUACAGGAGUUCCUUGCUUUGUAGGUAUGUACAUAAUAUGUAGAGUUUAAGAAAAGCUGCAAAUCGUGCUUUAGUACAAGUGUCCCGUCAG